CAUAGCGACUAUCGUGGCAUAUCAAUAAGCGGAGGAAAAGAAACUAACAAGGAUUCCCUUAGUAACGGCGAGUGAAGCGGGAAGAGCUCAAAUUUGAAAUCUUCAAGGUUUUACCUUGACGAAUUGUAGUUUAAAGAAGUGUUUUCUGUUGGAGUUUUGGUAAAAGUUCUUUGGAAUAGGACAUCAUAGAGGGUGAGAAUCCCGUAUUUGACCAUUAUUUCCAGCUGUGUGAUACACUUUCAAAGAGUCGGAUUGUUUGGGAAUGCAGUCCAAAAUGGGUGGUAAAUUUCAUCUAAAGCUAAAUAUUGGCGAGAGACCGAUAGCGAACAAGUACCGUGAGGGAAAGAUGAAAAGAACUUUGAAAAGAGAGUUAAACAGUACGUGAAAUUGUCAAAAGGGAAGCGUUUGACACCAGUGUUGUUUUACCGAAAAUCAAUUAUGAAUGGCUUGAUUUUAAGUUUCAUGACCUUAAAAGCUUGUUUCUUAUUUUUCAUGUCUUUCGUAAUGCACUUUUCGGUUAACAAGUCAACAUCAAUUUCUUUUGUUGUAAAAGGUUAAUGAGGAAGGUGGCUUUACUUUCGGAGUAAAGUGUUUAUAGCCUUUUAACCUCUGCAAUCGGAGAGAUUGAGGUCUGCAGCGUAGAUCCUUCGGGGUUAGAUACAUUUGUGCUAAGUUAUAGCUUUUCAUAGACAACUUGUUGACUAUGUUUAGUCUUGUAGCUUACUCGCUUACGCUAUUUUACCUACGCUUAGGAUGUUGAAGAUAUGCGCGACACG
rnacentral:rRNA from 1 species